UUCCGGUUGAUCCUGCCGGAGGUUACUGCUAUCGAGGUUCGACUAAGCCAUGCGAGUCGAAUGUAGCAAUACAUGGCGAACUGCUCAGUAACACGUGGACAACCUGCCCUUAGGUUGGGUAUAAACCCGGGAAACUGGGUAUAAUACCCGAUAGGUCUCGAUUGCUGGAAUGCAUCGAGAUUUAAAGCUCCGGCGCCUAAGGAUGGGUCUGCGGCCUAUCAGGUAGUAGUGGGUGUAGCGUACCUACUAGCCUACGACGGGUACGGGUUGUGAGAGCAAGAGCCCGGAGAUGGAUUCUGAGACACGAAUCCAGGCCCUACGGGGUGCAGCAGGCGCGAAAACUUUACAAUGCUGGCAACAGCGAUAAGGGAACCUCGAGUGCCAGGUUACAAAUCUGGCUGUCGAGAUGCCUAAAAAGCAUUUCAUAGCAAGGGCCGGGCAAGACCGGUGCCAGCCGCCGCGGUAACACCGGCGGCUCGAGUGGUAACCGUUAUUAUUGGGUCUAAAGGGUCUGUAGCCGGCCGGAUAAGUCUCUUGAGAAAUCUGGCAGCUUAACUGUCAGGCUUUCAGGAGAUACUGUCUGGCUCGAGGCCGGGAGAGGUGAGAGGUACUUCAGGGGUAGGGGUGAAAUCUUGUAAUCCUUGAAGGACCACCAGUGGCGAAGGCGUCUCACCAGAACGGACCUGACGGCAAGGGACGAAAGCUAGGGGCACGAACCGGAUUAGAUACCCGGGUAGUCCUAGCCGUAAACGAUACUCGCUAGGUGUCGGCCACGGUGCGACCGUUGUCGGUGCCGUAGGGAAGCCGUGAAGCGAGCCACCUGGGAAGUACGGCCGCAAGGCUGAAACUUAAAGGAAUUGGCGGGGGAGCACCACAACGGGUGGAGCUUGCGGUUUAAUUGGAUUCAACGCCGGAA
rnacentral:rRNA from 1 species